CCAGAGUCGCGCAAGUAGCCACAAGAGGAUAUGACAUUUGUUUGUUUAUGGAAUUGGCAGCAUCGCCAGAAGGAUUCUGGUCAGCGGAAGGCAUCGAACACCGUCUUGGCGGCAAAGGAGGUGGAGGUUCAUUGGGAGUGUAACAUUGUCCAUUCUCAGAGCGUUGAAGCAUUUCGUGUGAUAUAUCCCAAGUUACACGAGUAUUGUUGGACUCCAAUGCAUCUAUGGUAGCAGGCGUAUGCACAUACACUUUUGACUUGACGUAGCCCCAAAAUAAUCAGUCCAGGGAUGUGGUGUCCCACGAUUAGGUGGCCAAUUCACUAGCCCGAACAGUGAUACCUAUGUAUUGUUGGCCGGAACUUUCUUUUAAUGAAACCAUAGUUCCCGAGCAGUA